rnacentral:lncRNA from 1 species
CUAGCAAGAAGGAAUGGUCGUCAACACCGUAGUCGAACUGGGGUCGCUGGUAGUCUUAGGGUCUACUGGAAAGAAGUAACGGAGGGGAAACAUAAUAAAUAAUAGAGCAAUCAAAGCAUCACAAAGUGUAACAUGGCAAUAGCGAUGCUAGAGGUGACCUAACGCAGCAGUAGAUGAUACCGGCGAAGGGGGAAAACAUCUGAGAAAGUAUCCCCGGUGUUUCGCGUUUUCGGACAGAUGAACCGGAGGUGAAAUGUUGCACGUUCACUAUGCUAGGGAUGUGCAACAGAUGAAUGGACUGCGUAUUCGGAUUCGACUUGAAAUUCUGAGCAACUUUCAUGUAUAAAGUAUUUUCAUCCGAGUUACGAAUUAUUUCUUAUUAAUUUUUAAAGUUUAGUUAAUUUCUAAAAUUAAUUUAAUUCGAAAAUGAAAAAACAAAUGCCCAGUCAGCCGUAGACACUGACAUGUGGGUCCAGUCCACUGCCCAGUCAGCAGUUGACUGGGUCAACAUUGACUGGUCAAGGGGCGCUGGGUCCCAUCCCACUGACUGGGACUGCCCAGUCAGCAGGUUUGACUGGUCAAAAGACCAGUGGGACCCAUGUGUCAGUGAGACAUUUGAUUAACAAAUUGUUUUGUUUUUCUUUUUAAGUAAACUAACUGGCAGUGGGCCCUGCUGUCAGUGACUAAUUAAUGGGGUUGUUGGUUAGAACUAAUUGGGGUUAGCCCCUAACUGAUUUUGGGCCGGCGUGGUGUGGCACAUCCAGCCGUGAGGCUCUGCACACACACGCACAAAUAGCACACGCCAUACACCGCAAGCAGCAGCGCAGCGGCAAUAUGCAGGAGAGCAGAGAGCAGCGGCAAUGCAUAGAAGAGCAGCGCCUAGCAGCAGCACUAGCAGGCCGAGCAGCUCCAGCGUCACAGCAGCAACGCAGGCACGGGAGCAGCAGAAUGCAGCAAGCAACAUCACCUGAGCAGUGCCGGCAUGGCCAGCAUGCGCAGUAAGGUAGCAGCGUGAGCAGUAGGCGGUCGCGGCGCCGCGGGCGAGGCACAGUAGCCGCAGCCAUGGGCAGGAGCAGGCAGCAGCAACAACAACACGUACGCGUACGCGAAAGCGGAGCUGCGGCCAUGGCAGCAGAGCGCGGGGACGGUGUCAACGGCGACAGAUCGAAGCAGGGAGAGAGGGGAUCCGGGAGAGGACCUCACAGCGAGCUUGAGGGCGUGGUCUAGGAGGCCGGGGGUAGACCGGAGCGGUGGGAAUCGACGACGGCGGUCGGCGGUGUACGUGACGAAGACGACGGCGAUGGCGUGCGCACGGGCCGCUCUGGCUUGAGCUGGUGCCCGGGACGGACGAAGCUAACAGCGGUGGAUCUCCUGGACUCCUUCUCCGGCGACGGCGACGGCGAUGGCCACGGCAACAGUGACGACGAGCACGGUCACCGCACGAGCUUUUGAGCUCGAUUUCGAGCAGAUGGGGAGGGGGCGCGAUGGGGAAACAGG